UACGUAGGGUGCGAGCGUUAAUCGGAAUUACUGGGCGUAAAGCGUGCGUAGGCGGUUCGUUAAGUUCGUUGUGAAAGCCCCGGGCUUAACCUGGGAAUGGCAGUGGAAACUAGAGAACUUGAAUCUGGCAGAGGGGGGUGGAAUGCCACGUGUAGCAGUGAAAUGCGUAGAUAUGUGGCGGAACACCGAUGGCGAAGGCAGCCCCCUGGGCUGAGAUUGACGCUCAGGCACGAAAGCGUGGGGAGCAAACAGG
rnacentral:rRNA from 1 species